rnacentral:rRNA from 1 species
UACGGAGGAGGCAAGCGUUAUCCGGAAUUAUUGGGCGUAAAGCGCGUGUAGGCGGCGUGACAAGUCGGGUGUGAAAGCCCUCAGCUCAACUGAGGAAGUGCGCCCGAAACUGUCGUGCUUGAGUGCCGGAGAGGGUGGCGGAAUUCCCCAAGUAGAGGUGAAAUUCGUAGAUAUGGGGAGGAACACCGGUGGCGAAGGCGGCCACCUGGACGGCUACUGACGCUGAGACGCGAAAGCGUGGGGAGCAAACAGG